ensembl:lncRNA
CUUGCCACACAGCUCUUUAUGUACCCCUGAGGCCAGGCUGCCCACUUUGCUUCUCAGGUCCCGAACCCACACAAAAUUCAACCAAUACACCUGCAUCUCUGACCUAGAGCACUGCAUCUUCAUUAUGCCCUUGGUGCUGACCGCCAGCUUCUCACUGCCCUGCAUCUUGGACUCUGCCCUAGGGCCAAGACCUCAGCCAGGCGACUCUUUGUGACCCCAUGGACUGAAAUCUGCUAAGCUACUCCAUCCAUGAGAUUUCCCAGGCACAAGUAAUGGAGUGGCUUCCCAUUUCCUCUUCCAGAGAAUAUUCCUGCCCCAGAGGUGGAAACUGUAUCUCCUGCAUUGCAGGUGAAUUCUUUACCACUGAACCAGCAGGGAAGCCCAUAUUGGAGCAUAGUUAAUAAUGUGUUAGCUUUCAGUGUAUAGCAAAAUGAUUCAGUUAUACACAUACAUGUAUCUACUCUUUUUCCAAAGUUAUUACAGAAUAUUGAGCAGUGUUCCCUGUCCUAUGUAGUAGUUCCUUGUUGAUUACCUAUUUUAAAUAAAGCACUGUGUACAUGUCAAUAUCAAACUUCAAUUUAU